UUUCUUUCUUUGCAACUAAACCUCUGCAGUAAGUCAUUCUCUUGUCGUGCCGGUUAGGGCUUUUUUAAAUUCUCUUGAUUUUCCUUUUCGCCAAUUUUCUUCCAAUUACGGCAAUCGUUUGGGUAUAUUGAAGGGGUUGUACUUGUCUAAAAAUGCAAGGAGGGAGGGGCAGCAGGGAUCCGUUUUCUAAUUUUGGUGAUCCCUUUGGUGGUUUUGGGGGCUUUGGUGGGUUUGGGAGUCAACGGAGUUUGUUGUCCAAUUUUUUUGGUGGAAGGGACCCAUUUGAUGAUCCUUUCUUUACACGUCCAUUUGGAGGCAUGUUUGAGUCGAGCUUUUUUGGUUCUAGUGGUAGCCCAUUUGCUAGCAUGCAUCCAUCUGCAUUUCUUGAGCAUCAAGCUCCAGAGCCUAAAUUGUCUAGGGGUCCAAUUAUUGAAGAAUUGAACUCUGAUGAUGAAAAGGAUGAAGCUGAUAAAGACAAGAAAGAGAAUCCAAGAAAACAUGGUAGAUCAAGCAAGGGUCCGUAUGUUGAGGACCCAGAUGAUGAUGAUGCUGAAGGUGAAGAGAGAAAGAACAAGCACUUGCAGUAUAUAAAUGGUCGCAACAGGUACCCGGCCAUGGAGCA
rnacentral:misc_RNA from 1 species